GAUCUAUCGCCUUUAAUUUUGCAUUUCCAUCAAAUGUCUGUAAUUUAUUAACAGCUUAUUUCCCAAUUGACCUAUCAGCGGAUAUUCUUUUACAUUUGUUGUUGUGCUAAUUAAAUCGAUAAUAUGUAAAAGCCAACUAAUAUUUGUAGGCUGAGUUAAGUGACAGCAAGCAAGACCUUAAUUGAGAGGAUAUAAAAUGGGGAAUAGCGGUAGUAACGGCAAGAGUUUUUCACCCAAGAGCAGUGGAAAGAUUAAGUCUUCGGAAUCUAGCAGCAAUAUGUUUUCUAGCAAAUGGAGCGAAGGUGAUUCAGGUAAAUUAGAAAGUACCAACUACAUUGAAGAUAUGGUGUGUAAAGAAUCAGACAUUCAAGAAAAUGAAAUGAAACAGCUACCUCUGGGCAGUGAUGGAGACAAAAUUUUACUUAUAAAGCAACAAGGAAAAUUGUAUGCCAUUGGUAAUAAAUGUACGCAUUAUGGAGCUCCUUUGGUAACUGGAGCAUUAGGAGAUGGAAGAGUCAGAUGUCCUUGGCACGGUGCUUGCUUCAAUAUUGAAACUGGAGAUAUCGAAGAUUAUCCUGGGCUAGAUUCUAUACCACGUUAUAAAGUAUCUACAAUUGAAGGUCAAGUUAAAGUUAGAGCAAAAAAAUCUGAUCUUGCAGCUAAUCGAAGAGAAAAACUUACUUAUGAACUAAAAGAAGGAAAUCCAGAUGUUGCUGUUAUUAUCGGAGGUGGACCGGCAGGUGCUACCUGUGCCGAAAGUCUUAGGCAAGAAGGGUUUGAGGGACGAAUAGUAAUGGUUUGCAAAGAGAAAGUGUUACCUUACGAUAGGGUCAAAGUAUCAAAAGUUAUAGAUUUAGAUAUAAACAAAAUUCUAUUAAGAUCUCAAUGUUUCUAUGAUAAACAUAAUAUUGAAACAAAAUUAGGAGUCGAAGCCCUCAGCUUGGAUACUAAGAAUCAAAAGGUUACACUUAGUAAUUGUGAAAAGCUAAGCUACACUUCAUUAUUUAUAGCUACUGGAAGCAAGCCUAGAAAACCAGAUUUUCAAGGAGUAAAUUUGAGAAACAUUUUCACUAUAAGAAAUUACACAGAUGCUCAAGCCUUGCACCGGGUACUAUCGAGUCAAUGCAAAAAACAUGUUGUAAUUCUUGGAGCAAACUUCAUUGGUAUGGAAAUAGCAUCCUACUGUGCCGAUAAAACUGCUUCGGUAACUAUUAUUGGAAAAUAUUGUGUACCUCUUACACACGUAUUUGGAGAUGAAAUAGGAAAAUCCAUAAAGAAAGUAUUUGAAGAAAAGGGUGUUACAUUUAUAACACAGAAUAGUAUUUGUAAAUGUAUACCAAAAGUAAAUAACGAUGAAAUCGUAGGUCAAGUUGAACUGCAGGAUGGAAGAAUUUUACAAGCCGACAUAGUUAUAUUAGGAAUCGGUUCGACCUUUUAUACAAAUUGGUUAACAGACUCGAAUAUAACACUUUUACAAGAUGGUAGUAUAGAAGUGGAUAAGUAUUUGACAACCAAUGUACCAAAUGUCUUUGCUGGAGGAGAUAUUGCUUUUGCGCCUGUUUAUUCUGCUAACAAAUCAGCAACUAUCGGACAUUUUGCCUUAGCUCAAUAUCAUGGGAAAAUAGCAGCUAGAAAUAUGUGUAAAAAGGAAACUCCUUUGAGAGCGAUACCAUUCUUUUGGACUACCUUAUUUGGUAAAAGCUAUCGUUAUUCCGGAUAUGGAAAAUCUACAUCUAUCAAAGUACAUGGUUCAUUAAGUGAAUCAAAAUUUUUUGCCUACCACUUUAAAGAUGGUAAAGUUAUAGCGAUGAGCAGUUUGGGCAGGGAUCCCAUUGUUUCAGAUUUUGCAAAUUACAUUUACGAAGGUAAAUGCUUGUCGGAAAAAUCUGUGACGAAUAAUCCAACUAAGUGGAUGCGCAACUUACCCGCUGAUCUUAAACCACCAACUCCAGAAUGCGAGUCGUAAGACUUUUCAUCUACACAUCAAAUUUAAAAUAAAUAAUAAAUGUAUGAUAGAUGCUUGUUAAUUACAACUAUAUAAAAUGAUCUUAAGGCUUGAUAAACGAAACUACCACACACAUACUAUCCAAAGACUCUCACCAGAAAAAUCUGUCAUUAAAAAUUUUAUAAAUAAUUAUUAUUCAACGUUUAAACGCAAUUUAUUUAAAUUUUUAUGGUAAAAUCUUGCAAAUUGUAGUGUUAUUAAA